UGGCAUUUGUGAUGAUAAAUAUAGAACAAAAAACUGAAUUAAGUUAAGUAUGUAAGUGUGUGUGUGUAUAUAUAGUAGUAGUCUCUCGAAGUCCGAGGAAGAUGAAUGUGUUGCGUAGUCAAUGUCUGCGGGCACGCAUAUGACUUCUGAGGCCGAAGUCCAAAGCGCAGAUACGGUCGCAGAUGGGGCAAGGAGCACCGCCUGUUGGGGCAAGAGCAGACGCCUUCUUGUGUCUUUCUUGACUCAGUUAAAGAUAAAAUAUAAGUAAUGCAGGUAAAGUUCAUGGGUUCAAUGUCCUUUUGGAAAUUGGAUGGCAGAGGGGAAGAAACUGUUCCUGAUUCAGUGUGUGUAUACCUCCUUCCCAAUGGUAACAAUGAAAAAGAGGACAUGUCCUGGGUGGCGGGCGUCCUUAGUGAUGGAUGCUGCCUUCCUUGAAGAUGUAUUGGAUCCGUUGGAGACUAGUAUCCAUGAAGGGGUGACUCAUUUUACAACUUGCUGCAGCUUGGUUCAAUCUUGUGUACUAGCCCCCGCCCCCCAUACCAGACGGUGAUGCAGCCUGUCAGAAUGCUCUCCACGGUACAUCUAUAGAAGUUUUUGAGUGUUUUAGGUGGCAAAACAAAUUUCCUCAAACUCCAAAUGAAAUUUAGCUGUUGUCUUGCCUUCUUUAUAGCUGCAUUAUCAGGUUAAGUCCUCGGGGAUAGACACCUAGGAACCUGAAAUUGUUCUCUCUCUACACUUCUGAUCCCUCUGUGAGGAUUGGUUUGUGUUCCCUCACCUUGCUCUUCCUGAAGCCCACAGUCAGCUCUUUGGUCUUACUGGCAUUGAGUACAAGGCCGUGUCCAAUGAAUCGUUUUCCUCUGCUCUGUGAUUCAGUAAAAUCAUGAUUGAUAUUUUACCUUAGUCUCACUUCCCUGGACUAAUUACAUAUAGAGUGGUAUAUGGAGUACAGUGUUGGGAAAUGUAUGAUAAUGCAUUUUGUUAACGAACAAUAGUGCAGACUAUUAUCUAAAUGGGGAGAAAAUUCAAACAUCAGAGGUGCAGAGGGACCUCUGUGGAAUGUUCUGCCACAGACUGCAGUGGAGGCCAAAUCUGUAGGUAUAUUUAAAGCAGGUCGAGAGAUUCCUGAUUGGUGGGGGCACCUAGGGUUAUGGUGAGAGCACAGGUGUAUGUGGUCGAAUGGAAUCUGGGAUCAGCCACGAUGGAAUGGUGAAGUGUACUCAAUGAGCUGAAUGGCUUAAUUCUGUUCCUAUGUCUUAUGGUCUUGUAACACUUGAUUCCUUUAAUAUCCAGAACCAUUCGUAUUAGGAAUGGAGGCUGAAGAUGUGAGGUUGUUAGAUGCCACAGAAGGAUUUCUCAAGAAAAUAUAGAAUGAACUCUGAAAGAAGAUGCCCCUUCUGUUUGAACUUGAUUCUUGUCGGUGCUAAAUUGUGCUUGCUCUGGCUGCAAAGAGCAGAGACCGUCAAACCUGUCAAAAGGCUGGGAAUGUAUAAAUGUGAUGAAAGCUCUGGGCAACUGCUUUGAGAUAAUGAGCAAUAUGCAGCUGUUGCUCAGCAGGGUUGCUGCACCUGUUUAGGAGAGUUCAGAAGGCUGCUACAGAACUGGAAGACGAUGCCCGGAAUGGAGCAAGUGUGUUUGAAACCCCUCGCUCCAGCAGACCAUUCCACUGAGCUGUUUGUUUUCCUGUCCCCUCCAGCUGACGAGUGGAAGUGGGUGUCAUUCCAUCACCAAAAGUGGCAUUUAUUUAGAGCUAAGCCCGGAUCAAAGUGCAGUGAUACUCCUCAGCUGUCUCCCAACCUGCAGUUGAGUUGCUCCUCCGCUGUGUAUUUACAGAGAUAACCAUUGACGUUCUCUGAUUUAUUUAUAAUAAAACACAAGUUGGCUUAAUUAGUCAAAUGAGAAUUUGCAUUUAGUACACGUCCUUAAGAUGCUCCAAGCUUCAUGGAUUCUGAGGUAUUUCAGCAAUAUCAUCUUUUAACAUGUGGGACAAGUGCUCCAAAUUCCACUCAAUUCCCAUUUACCGUUCAAGUUCGCUCCAUUCACAAAGUUGUGCCACUUUUUGUUUGCAGAUCAUUCUACCCAAACCUUUAAAACAUCUGUUCAAUUUUUCUAUUUCAACAGCAGACAUCUCCAAGUGCAAAAUGGUCCCAAGCAAAGGAAUCAACAAUUUCAAGAGAACAUUGCAUUUCUUGGAGCCUUUUAUGAUGUUUAAUCUGUUAUUAAA